GAACGCUGAAGCCCCAGCUUGCUGGGGUGGAUGAGUGGCGAACGGGUGAGUAACACGUGAGUAACCUGCCCCUGACUUCGGGAUAAGCCCGGGAAACUGGGUCUAAUACCGGAUACGACCGUCCUACGCAUGUGGGAUGGUGGAAAGUUUUUUCGGUUGGGGAUGGGCUCGCGGCCUAUCAGUUUGUUGGUGAGGUAAUGGCUCACCAAGACGACGACGGGUAGCCGGCCUGAGAGGGCGACCGGCCACACUGGGACUGAGACACGGCCCAGACUCCUACGGGAGGCAGCAGUGGGGAAUAUUGCACAAUGGGGGAAACCCUGAUGCAGCGACGCAGCGUGCGGGAUGACGGCCUUCGGGUUGUAAACCGCUUUCAGCAGGGAAGAAGCGAAAGUGACGGUACCUGCAGAAGAAGUACCGGCUAACUACGUGCCAGCAGCCGCGGUAAUACGUAGGGUACGAGCGUUGUCCGGAAUUAUUGGGCGUAAAGAGCUCGUAGGUGGUUGGUCACGUCUGCUGUGGAAACGCAACGCUUAACGUUGCGCGUGCAGUGGGUACGGGCUGACUAGAGUGCAGUAGGGGAGUCUGGAAUUCCUGGUGUAGCGGUGAAAUGCGCAGAUAUCAGGAGGAACACCGGUGGCGAAGGCGGGACUCUGGGCUGUAACUGACACUGAGGAGCGAAAGCAUGGGGAGCGAACAGGAUUAGAUACCCUGGUAGUCCAUGCCGUAAACGUUGGGCACUAGGUGUGGGGGACAUUCCACGUUCUCCGCGCCGUAGCUAACGCAUUAAGU
rnacentral:rRNA from 1 species